ACAAGGACUUGAAGAACCUUCAAGGCUGAAACCCAAGGAAGAUAAAAGAAGGAGAAAGGAAAAACAAGGACACAACAAAAUGGAUGACCAACUUGUUUUGAAUAGAGCCUAAGUUCUGAUACCAAAUGAUACAGUUUCUACACUUAGUAGCUGAUUCCACUAAGAAAAAGACCAAAGGACCGUCUUUAAAACAAGCCAAGAAACUCCCUUG
rnacentral:misc_RNA from 1 species